GAGCAGGUGCGAAAGCAGGUCAUAGUGAUCCGGUGGUUCUGAAUGGAAGGGCCAUCGCUCAACGGAUAAAAGGUACUCCGGGGAUAACAGGCUGAUACCGCCCAAGAGUUCAUAUCGACGGCGGUGUUUGGCACCUCGAUGUCGGCUCAUCACAUCCUGGGGCUGAAGUAGGUCCCAAGGGUAUGGCUGUUCGCCAUUUAAAGUGGUACGCGAGCUGGGUUUAGAACGUCGUGAGACAGUUCGGUCCCUAUCUGCCGUGGGCGCUGGAGAACUGAGGGGGGCUGCUCCUAGUACGAGAGGACCGGAGUGGACGCAUCACUGGUGUUCGGGUUGUCAUGCCAAUGGCACUGCCCGGUAGCUAAAUGCGGAAGAGAUAAGUGCUGAAAGCAUCUAAGCACGAAACUUGCCCCGAGAUGAGUUCUCCCUGACCCUUUAAGGGUCCUGAAGGAACGUUGAAGACGACGACGUUGAUAGGCCGGGUGUGUAAGCGCAGCGAUGCGUUGAGCUAACCGGUACUAAUGAACCGUGAGGCUUAACCUU
rnacentral:rRNA from 1 species